AGGGUUUGAUCAUGGCUCAGGAUGAACGCUAGCGGCAGGCUUAACACAUGCAAGUCGAGGGGUAUAUAUAGCUUGCUAUAUAGAGACCGGCGCACGGGUGCGUAACGCGUAUACAAUCUACCUUAAUCAAAGGGAUAGCCCAGAGAAAUUUGGAUUAAUACCUUAUGUGAUAAUUAAUUGGCAUCGAUUAGUUAUUAAAGAUUUAUCGGAUUAAGAUGAGUAUGCGUCCCAUUAGCUAGUUGGUAUGGUAACGGCAUACCAAGGCGAUGAUGGGUAGGGGUCCUGAGAGGGAGAUCCCCCACACUGGUACUGAGACACGGACCAGACUCCUACGGGAGGCAGCAGUGAGGAAUAUUGGUCAAUGGAGGCAACUCUGAACCAGCCAUGCCGCGUGUAGGAAGAAUGUCUUAUGGAUUGUAAACUACUUUUAUACAGGAAGAAACCUGCCCUUGCGAGGGUAAUUGACGGUACUGUAAGAAUAAGGAUCGGCUAACUCCGUGCCAGCAGCCGCGGUAAUACGGAGGAUUCGAGCGUUAUCCGGAAUCAUUGGGUUUAAAGGGUCCGUAGGCGGGUAGAUAAGUCAGUGGUGAAAGUUUUCAGCUCAACUGGAAAAAUGCCAUUGAUACUGUUUAUCUUGAAUUAGUGUGAAGUAACUAGAAUAUGUAGUGUAGCGGUGAAAUGCAUAGAUAUUACAUAGAAUACCGAUUGCGAAGGCAGGUUACUAACACUAUAUUGACGCUGAUGGACGAAAGCGUGGGUAGCGAACAGGAUUAGAUACCCUGGUAGUCCACGCCGUAAACGAUGGAUACUAGCUGUUUGAACUUUGGUUUGAGUGGCUAAGCGAAAGUGAUAAGUAUCCCACCUGGGGAGUACGCACGCAAGUGUGAAACUCAAAGGAAUUGACGGGGGCCCGCACAAGCGGUGGAGCAUGUGGUUUAAUUCGAUGAUACGCGAGGAACCUUACCAGGGCUUAAAUGUAGAUUGACAGGUUUAGAGAUAGACUUUCCUUCGGGCAAUUUACAAGGUGCUGCAUGGUUGUCGUCAGCUCGUGCCGUGAGGUGUCAGGUUAAGUCCUAUAACGAGCGCAACCCCUAUUGUUAGUUGCUAGCAGGUCAAGCUGAGGACUCUAACGAGACUGCCGGUGCAAACCGUGAGGAAGGUGGGGAUGACGUCAAAUCAUCACGGCCCUUACGUCCUGGGCUACACACGUGCUACAAUGGUAUGGACAAUGAGCAGCCACUAUGCGAAUAGGAGCGAAUCUAUAAACCAUAUCACAGUUCGGAUCGGAGUCUGCAACUCGACUCCGUGAAGCUGGAAUCGCUAGUAAUCGGAUAUCAGCCAUGAUCCGGUGAAUACGUUCCCGGGCCUUGUACACACCGCCCGUCAAGCCAUGGAAGCUGGGGGUGCCUGAAGUCGGUCACCGCGAGGAGCCGCCUAGGGUAAAACUGGUAACUAGGGCUAAGUCGUAACAAGGUAACC
rnacentral:rRNA from 1 species